CACUGGUGACCAGUCAUCGGCAAGAGUUCUAUAUAUGUGCUACAAAGUGUAGGCUUUCGUGACUACACGGAUUGAUAAUAUAUCAGAUCAAUUGCAUUUCAUGCAUACGAUAAAUGACAUUCUAAACAUCAGAAGAUAUCGUUUCAGCCAUUAUCUCAGUAGCCGCGUGAUUACACGGCGUGUUCAGCGCCCUGGAGUGGUAAGAGUCGGGAAUAAGACUUAACUUGGAACACUCCAGUAACCUGCGAAAUGCAGAUGACAUUGACUUGCUCAAGAGACACGGGCUGCUAUCGCGUCCCCUGUUGUAAAAGAAAUUAAGACCGUGGACCAAAGGUUCAUGUGUAUUCAUUUACGAGGGAGGUUGACCGGAAGGAUAAGUGGCUGCGAGCAAUUCGAAUGAAGGAUUUCACUCCAGGCGUCCAUUUGAAGGUAUGCGAGCUUCCCUUCCGGACAAGUGACUUCGUCAACACGUUGACACACUGCGACGAGAGCACAGGAAGAAGACUCGAAGUUAUAAGUGACAGAGUUCGCCUGAGGGAAUAUGCUGUGCCCACAGUUUUCCCCAACUCUCCGAAACUGCGACGCGCUCAGUAGGGAAUGCAGCGAUGAACACAAGGUUGAAAAAUUUUUGCAAAGUGAAAAAUGAUGCAGUGCAGUAUGACGCCAAGAAAAAGAAAAAGCUGCCAUGCGCAAAGCAAAUACAUUAAAAAAGAAGUGAAGUGUGCGUGGCGUAGCGACAUUUUUAUUAAAGAGAAUUA
rnacentral:lncRNA from 1 species